UACGAAGGGGGCUAGCGUUGUUCGGAAUUACUGGGCGUAAAGCGCACGUGGGCGGAUAUUUAAGUCAGGGGUGAAAUCCCGGGGCUCAACCCCGGAACUGCCUUUGAUACUGGGUAUCUGGAGUCCGGAAGAGGUGAGUGGAAUUCCGAGUGUAGAGGUGAAAUUCGUAGAUAUUCGGAGGAACACCAGUGGCGAAGGCGGCUCACUGGUCCGGUACUGACGCUGAGGUGCGAAAGCGUGGGGAGCAAACAGG
rnacentral:rRNA from 1 species